rnacentral:rRNA from 1 species
CAUGCAAGUCGAGGGGCAGCGGGAUUGAAGCUUGCUUCAAUUGCCGGCGACCGGCGCACGGGUGAGUAACGCGUAUCCAACCUUCCGUACACUCAGGGAUAGCCUUUCGAAAGAAAGAUUAAUACCUGAUGGUAUGAUGAGAUUGCAUGAUAGCAUCAUUAAAGAUUCAUCGGUGUACGAUGGGGAUGCGUUCCAUUAGGUAGUAGGCGGGGUAACGGCCCACCUAGCCUACGAUGGAUAGGGGUUCUGAGAGGAAGGUCCCCCACAUUGGAACUGAGACACGGUCCAAACUCCUACGGGAGGCAGCAGUGAGGAAUAUUGGUCAAUGGACGAGAGUCUGAACCAGCCAAGUAGCGUGAAGGAUGAAGGUCCUACGGAUUGUAAACUUCUUUUAUAAGGGAAUAAAACCUCCCACGUGUGGGAGCUUGUAUGUACCUUAUGAAUAAGCAUCGGCUAACUCCGUGCCAGCAGCCGCGGUAAUACGGAGGAUGCGAGCGUUAUCCGGAUUUAUUGGGUUUAAAGGGAGCGCAGACGGGUCGUUAAGUCAGCUGUGAAAGUUUGGGGCUCAACCUUAAAAUUGCAGUUGAUACUGGCGUCCUUGAGUGCGGUUGAGGUGUGCGGAAUUCGUGGUGUAGCGGUGAAAUGCUUAGAUAUCACGAAGAACUCCGAUUGCGAAGGCAGCACACUAAGCCGUAACUGACGUCCAUGCUCGAAAGUGUGGGUAUCAAACAGGAUUAGAUACCCUGGUAGUCCACACGGUAAACGAUGGAUACUCGCUGUUGGCGAUAUACUGUCAGCGGCUUAGCGAAAGCGUUAAGUAUCCCACCUGGGGAGUACGCCGGCAACGGUGAAACUCAAAGGAAUUGACGGGGGCCCGCACAAGCGGAGGAACAUGUGGUUUAAUUCGAUGAUACGCGAGGAACCUUACCCGGGCUUAA